CUAGGUGUUUGUACACAAACAAUUCACAGCAAGGCGGAGGAGAACCUGGAAGGAGGCUCAGUUCUCCAGGAAAUUUAAUUCCUUAGCGUUUGGUUUGGUCUCUUGACCCAGACCAGCAAUGCUGACUAAUAUGUGAGGCCGCACCCCAGGAGUAUUAUUGUGUGUGUUGAUCCUGAAGGCUAGAGAGUAAGAUCCGGAUCAUUUGGGUGCAUUGAGUCAUGGCCCAACAGAUUUACUCCGUUUUUAAAUUAGAAGAAGGCAACAGAAGAGUGGCCCAUGUGCAUGGACAGGGCUGGAGUGAUUCUUGCUUCAACAGCAGUCCCUUCAACCUUGCUUGAAUGGAGGCUGAGUAGAUCACAAGCUUCGCAGACUACAAGAUACCUUUGCUCAAAAGGAACCACAAUUGUUCCCCAGAUAUCAAAGCUAAGCAGAGUUGUAAAUUGUUUCAACUUAUGAAUAAAACUCCCCUGAACCACACCAAAGCUAUAAACUUGACAUAUAGUUUUACCCUGCUAAGGGAGUUAUUUUGUAGUGACAAACUUUUCUUCUGGUGGCCUGACACAUCCUAGGAGGACUUUGAGGUUGGGAAUUUUUCCUUCCCAUCAAAUGCUGGUUCUAAAUCCACAAAACUGUUUGAGAAACCAGAUACAAAAUUAUGAUACUAUUGGUGAUUUGAUUCGAAAAGAUGAAAUAGAUUAACAGCACGGAGAUGCCAAAAUUUUUAAAUAUAAUCUUUAAAAAUUUCAUUCUUAAAAUGUGAAAGGAAGAUCCACACAAG